rnacentral:rRNA from 1 species
GACGAACGCUGGCGGCGUGCUUAACACAUGCGAGUCGAACGGAAAGGCCCUGCUUUUCUGGGGUGCUCGAGUGGCGAACGGGUGAGUAACACGUGAGUAACCUGCCCUUGACUUUGGGAUAACUUCAGGAAACUGGGGCUAAUACCGGAUAUGAGCUCCCGCUGCAUGGUGGGGGUUGGAAAGUUUCGGCGGUUGGGGAUGGACUCGCGGCUUAUCAGCUUGUUGGUGGGGUAGUGGCUUACCAAGGCGUUGACGGGUAGCCGGCCUGAGAGGGUGACCGGCCACAUUGGGACUGAGAUACGGCCCAGACUCCUACGGGAGGCAGCAGUGGGGAAUAUUGCACAAUGGGCGGAAGCCUGAUGCAGCAACGCCGCGUGCGGGAUGACGGCCUUCGGGUUGUAAACCGCUUUCGCCUGUGACGAAGCGUGAGUGACGGUAAUGGGUAAAGAAGCACCGGCUAACUACGUG